CACACCGUUAGAGGAAGUUCAAGGACGCCUUACCUCCCAACGGUCUCGUGGUAAAAACGCUGUCAGAUACUCGCUGGAGUGCAAGGGCAGAUUCAACGAAAUCGUUAUUUUCCAACUAUCCAGAAAUACUGAAGGCUCUCAUUGCCAUAAAAACUGUAACUACACAGACUCCGGAAACAAGGCUGACGGCAGUUCGGUUGAUCAGACAGAUGGAGCAGUAGGACACUGCCUUAAUGACCAUCAUUUGGCAUACCAUUUUAGAGCGGUUCAAUGCCACAAGCUUGUGUCUGCAGAAAGUUGACAUUGACUUACUGAAUGUUGUGAAACUUUAGUACUCUCUUAUCAGCUUUUUACUGGAUACCCGGGACACGUUUGACGAUAUUGAAGAGAUGGCCAAAGCGUUUGUUGCAAUCAACGAAUAUAAUGAUGCGAAUAAGCGUACGAGACGGCGGAAACAAUUUCUUGACGAGAGUACGACCCCAGAUGCGAAUUCGGAGUUAAGCGCGCGACAAUUUUCGAAUUCACACAUUAUACAGCAUAGUUGACUGUCUCACUGUUGAACUUCGCAAGCGGUUGAGCGCAUAUUCUGAUCUUCAAAAACUGUUUGGUUUCAUGACAGAGUUUGAGUUUCUCACCUUGGAUGAUUUACGGAAAUGUGCAACGCAUCUUGUGGAGUCUUAUCCAGAUGACAUUGAGGCGUCUUUUGUUGAUGAGAUAGUUCAGUUCAAAGCCAUCUUAGAAGCGGACCAAGACAGAACCAUCACCCACAUGAGUAAACUGCUGAAGUUAGAUGGAGGUCAACUUCAGACAACUUUUCCAAAUGCUGCCAUCGCUGUACGCAUAUACUUAACAAUUCCAGUUAAUAACUGUCAAGGUGAGAGGUCAUUUUCAACAUUAGCACGCGUGAAAAACUAUUUGAGGAACACCAUGAGUCAGGAAAGGUUGACAGCAUUGGGGCUAGUGUCUAUUGAAUGUCAAGUCCUCAGAGAACUAGACUUCACACAGCUGAUCGAUGACUUUUGCCAGCUGAAGUGUCGUAAAAGAGACUUAUAGGCUGGAAUCUGUUACAUGAAUUAAGAAGGGGACCAGAGGGAAGGUGGCCCCUGUAACAUGUUCAGCGUUGUGCCCCAAAACAGCUUAAUCCGACCCUGGGCGAAGUCUUGAUUUAAGUCAGGAAAUGCACUUGAGAGUAUCUCAUGCCUUUGUCUUUUGAUCAAGGUAAUAUAAAUAGACCCGAAUUAA